AGUGAACGCUGGCGGCAGGCCUAAUACAUGCAAGUCGAACGGCAGCACAGCAGAGCUUGGCUCUGUGGGUGGCGAGUGGCGGGACGGGUGAGGAAUACGUGGGAAUCUGCCCAGUCGUGGGGGAUAACGUAGGGAAACUUACGCUAAUACCGCAUGCGCCCUUCGGGGAAAGCCGGGGACCUUCGGGCCUGGCGCGAUUGGAUGAGCCCACGUCGGAUUAGCUAGUUGGCGGGUAAAGGCCCACCAAGGCGACGAUCCGUAGCUGGUCUGAGAGGAUGAUCAGCCACACUGGAACUGAGACACGGUCCAGACUCCUACGGGAGGCAGCAGUAGGGAAUAUUGGACAAUGGGCGCAAGCCUGAUCCAGCCAUGCCGCGUGAGUGAAGAAGGCCCUCGGGUUGUAAAGCUC
rnacentral:rRNA from 1 species